UUCCGUCUUCCUUGCCACUGGUGACUGGCCGAUUGGCCGACAGCUUAGCCGUUCUUCCUUGACUUGGCGUCGACGUGCUGUUCAUCUUCUCGCGGGCUGAGUGGGAGGCCUGGGGGUGAGGGCCUUCCGAGAAAUGAAAAAAAAAAAUGGACCUUCUGUCUUCCUUGCCAUCGAUGAUCGAUCGAUUGCGUGCUCAGCUGUUCUUCCAUGUCCUAGGGUCGUUCAUCUUCUCGCAGGCCGAGCGGAGCCGUUUGGAGGCUGGGGGCGAGGGCCUUCUGGCCUUUCGGGGAGGAGGCAUCCUGCCAUUCGUCUUCUCCCGGGCCGAACAGAGGUCCUGAGGGUGAAGGGUGGCCUUCCGGCAUUUCAGGGCGGAGAUGGGGGGUGGGGGGCUAGCGGAGAGCCUGAGGGCGAGGGUCUAAAGCGAGGGCUUCGGUGACUUUACCUUUUAGCUAGUCCUGAGGAAAUUAAAGAUGUCAAAAAUCUGUAUUUGAUUUGGGCACACUUAGAGUUGCGACUGAUAACUUCUCUGACAUGAAUAAGCUCGGAGAAGGUGGGUUUGGAACAGUUUACAAGGGGGUAUUAUCAGAUGGCUGGCAAAUAGCUGUGAAAAGACUUUCCAGAACGUCACGGCAAGGAUUUCUAGAGCUAAGAAAUGAGGUUAUGUUUGUUGCGAAGCUUGGACACAGAAAUCUUGUAAAGCUACCGGGUUGUUGUUUAGAAGAGAGAAAAGUUACUCGUCUAUGAGUUUCUCCCAAAUACAAGCCUGACAAAUUUUUGUUUGAUCCUACUAAACGUGGACUCUUGGACUGGGGAAAGCGCUAUAUAAUUAUCGAAGGAAUUGCAAGGGGCUUAUUUAUCUUCACCAAGAUUCUUGGUUAAAGAUUAUCCAUCGGGAUCUAAAAGCAAGUAAUGUAUUGUUAGAUCAGUACGUGAAUAUCAAGAUUUCAGAUUUUGGUCUUGCAAAACUCGCUGAAUCAGAAAAAAUGCACGGAUGUGCCAGUAACAUUGCUGGCACAAAGUAUGUUAAAAAACUUUCAAUCUAGAGCAACUUGUACUACUAAGCUGCUUCAACAAAUGACCAUUGCUUGGUGGUGUGCGGUGGAUACAUGGCUCCGGAAUAUGCAAUCCAGGGGCAUUUUUCAACUAAAUCAGAUGUAUUUAGUUUCGGAGUUUUAAUUCUAGAGAUUGUGACCGGUCAAAGAAUCGCUGAUUUUCAUAGAUCGGGUUGUGCUACCAACCUCCUAAGCUAUGUAAGGACUCGCAAACUUCUUCCUUCUUUACUAAUAUAUGUAGCAAAAUAUGGAAGUACAAAGGGGAAGGGAGUUGUUCUUUAUUCUUCAUUGUGAUUCAUGUUGUUGAUUGUUUGUUAAGUAGGUCUGGGAGCACUGGAGCAAAGAUAUAGCUUUGCAAAUGAUAGAUCAUAGCUUAGGUGAAUUGUACCAUAGACAAGAAGCGUUGACAUGCAUCCACAUAGGAUUACUGUGUGUUCAGGAAGUCUCGAGGAAGAGACCUUGCAUGGAAUCUGUUGCUCUAAUGCUGAGUAAUUACUCCAUUACACUUCCAACUCCUUCAAUGCCUGCAUAUUUUGUUCCAAGCAGAGCAGCCAAUGAUUCAAAUGUGACUUCCAAGAAUUGCCGAAUCCAAUCCUAGCUUGUCAUCUAUACAUAACGUGUCAAUUACUGAAAUAGAGCCCCGGUAACAAAUUGUGUGAGAUAUCUGAUGAUUGUCACUGAUGAGAACAAGCACAAUAGUCUGGGCGGGCUGCUCUUCCAGCAUCAAUAAUUCAGAUGUUUCUCUUGGUGUUAUCCGGAUGGCGCUACUAUUGCGUGCUUCUUGCAAGCAAUGGCCAGGUUAUUUUGUUAUUUGAAACUUAAAUUUUUACAUUUCAAAGUAUAAGCUAUUUUAGAGUGUUUGGAAUUUUGAAUUAGAGAUCUUUAUUAGAUGAUUGUAUGAGUAUUUGGAGUUUUUUCAACUUUUUUCUCUACUAUCUUGUUGUACUUUUUUUCUAUCUUUAAUAAAAUUCAGGUAAGGUUGC